rnacentral:rRNA from 1 species
UGAUGCCUAUGGGACGCAGCAGUAGGGAAUUUUCGUCAAUGGGCGCAAGCCUGAACGAGCAAUGCCGCGUGAGUGAAGAAGGUCUUCGGAUUGUAAAGCUCUUUCGGACGUGACGAUGAUGACGGUAGCGUCUAAAGAAGCACCGGCAAACUUCGUGCCAGCAGCCGCGGUAAUACGAAGGGUGCGAGCGUUGUUCGGAAUUACUGGGCGUAAAGGGAGUGUAGGCGGAUAUGUAAGAUAGCGGUGAAAUGCCGGGGCUCAACCCCGGAACUGCCAUUAUGACUAUGUAUCUAGAGUAAUGGAGG